CUGGCGGCAGGCCUAACACAUGCAAGUCGAGCGCGCCUUCGGGUGAGCGGCGGACGGGUUAGUAACGCGUGGGAACGUGCCCUUCUCUACGGAAUAGCCUCUGGAAACGGAGAGUAAUACCGUAUACGCCCUUUGGGGGAAAGAUUUAUCGGAGAAGGAUCGGCCCGCGUUAGAUUAGGUAGUUGGUGGGGUAACGGCCUACCAAGCCUACGAUCUAUAGCUGGUUUUAGAGGAUGAUCAGCAACACUGGGACUGAGACACGGCCCAGACUCCUACGGGAGGCAGCAGUGGGGAAUCUUAGACAAUGGGGGCAACCCUGAUCUAGCCAUGCCGCGUGAGUGAUGAAGGCCUUAGGGUCGUAAAGCUCUUUCGCCUGUGAUGAUAAUGACAGUAGCAGGUAAAGAAACCCCGGCUAACUCCGUGCCAGCAGCCGCGGUAAUACGGAGGGGGUUAGCAUUGUUCGGAAUUACUGGGCGUAAAGCGCGCGUAGGCGGAUUAGAAAGUUGGGGGUGAAAUCCCGGGGCUCAACCCCGGAACUGCCUCCAAAACUGCUAGUCUAGAGUUCGAGAGAGGUGAGUGGAAUUCCGAGUGUAGAGGUGAAAUUCGUAGAUAUUCGGAGGAACACCAGUGGCGAAGGCGGCUCACUGGCUCGAUACUGACGCUGAGGUGCGAAAGUGUGGGGAGCAAACAGGAUUAGAUACCCUGGUAGUCCACACCGUAAACGAUGAAUGCCAGUCGUCGGAUAGUAUACUAUUCGGUGACACACCUAACGGAUUAAGCAUUCCGCCUGGGGAGUACGGUCGCAAGAUUAAAACUCAAAGG
rnacentral:rRNA from 1 species